CCCAGCAUUCUAGCUCAGGAGUUCGGAUGGAUGGCAAGAUCGGCAAUAGCCCUACUAUAGACACCAGUCAGCCUCGGGUCCAGCCCCUGCUCUGCCCUUGCCAGCUUCGUGGUACUGGGUGAGGGAUGUACCCUCUCCUGGGUAUUGUUUCUUCAUGAAAAUACUCAGGAAUUUGGACAGGUAUGAUGAAUGAAGUCAUCCCCAGCCCUAAUGUUUUACAAGAAAGAGAGACAUUUUAUUGAACUGGCUAAAAAGAGUAAAAUAGUAAUACAUUAAACCUUUUAUUGAGCAGGAAAUAAA
rnacentral:lncRNA from 1 species